GACGAACGCUGGCGGCGUGCUUAACACAUGCAAGUCGAACGGAAAGGCCCUGCUUUUGUGGGGUGCUCGAGUGGCGAACGGGUGAGUAACACGUGAGUAACCUGCCCUUGACUUUGGGAUAACUUCAGGAAACUGGGGCUAAUACCGGAUAGGAGCUCCUGCUGCAUGGUGGGGGUUGGAAAGUUUCGGCGGUUGGGGAUGGACUCGCGGCUUAUCAGCUUGUUGGUGGGGUAGUGGCUUACCAAGGCUUUGACGGGUAGCCGGCCUGAGAGGGUGACCGGCCACAUUGGGACUGAGAUACGGCCCAGACUACUACGGGAGGCAGCAGUGGGGAAUAGUGCACUAUGGGAGGAAGCCUGAUGCAGCAAAGCCGCGUGCGGGAUAACGGCCUUCGGGUUGUAAACCGCUUUCGCCUGUGACGAAGCGUGAGUGACGGUAAUGGGUAAAGAAGCCCCGGCUAACUACGUG
rnacentral:rRNA from 1 species